rnacentral:rRNA from 1 species
AAAUGAAUUGCUUAAUUGCACCACAUGUGUUUUUCUUUGAAACAAACUUGCUUUGGCGGUGGGCCCAGCCUGCCGCCAGAGGUCUAAACUUACAACCAAUUUUUUAUCAACUUGUCACACCAGAUUAUUACUAAUAGUCAAAACUUUCAACAACGGAUCUCUUGGUUCUCGCAUCGAUGAAGAACGCAGCGAAAUGCGAUACGUAAUAUGAAUUGCAGAUAUUCGUGAAUCAUCGAAUCUUUGAACGCACAUUGCGCCCUCUGGUAUUCCGGAGGGCAUGCCUGUUUGAGCGUCGUUUCUCCCUCAAACCGCUGGGUUUGGUGUUGAGCAAUACGACUUGGGUUUGCUUGAAAGACGGUAGUGGUAAGGCGGGAUCGCUUUGACAAUGGCUUAGGUCUAACCAAAAACAUUGCUUGCGGCGGUAACGUCUACCACGUAUAUCUUCAAACUUUGACCUCAAAUCAGGUAGGACUACCCGCUGAACUUAAGCAUAUCAAAAGCCGGAGGAA